CAAACAUUUUUCACCAUGGGCAGUCAUAGGGAAAUCUCCAGUAGAAGUUAAGUGCCCUCCUAAAAUGGAUUCCCUCCCAAGUCCUGAUCAUUCACAGAAAAGUCAACAAUAUCAGACAUUCAAAAAUAGUCACUGAGGGGUGGAUCAUAUACCCAGCACUCAAAUAUAGGAGCAUGCCAACAACAGGAAAUCUAAGUCCACACAGCCAAAAGCCUGGACAAAAAGCCAGAAAAAUGGCCAAGCCCUGAGUCAGAGGAUGAGUGCCUGAUCUAUAAAGGAUCUGUCCCUAAAUAGAGACUGCAUUCCAUCCAUGCCUGCCCAUCCUGUGUACGUGUCCACAAGAUUUAUCAAUGUGGUCCACCUACUCCUUUGUUUUCUGAUAAAAAUAAGGUUCUUAUUCACAGAGUCAUCUUCCUAGAGCAGGAAGGGACCCCAGAAGCUAUCUAAUUCGAACUUAUAAUUGUACAGAUGAGGAGACUGAAGCCAAAAGAAAGAGUCUGGGCAACAUGUCCAAGGACAUAUAGGUUAUAAGCAUUAGAGACAAGAUUGAAACUCAGUCACUGUCUCCAAAGCCUAUAAGGUUUGCCCAUAUUCAGUUCAACUCAUAAAUACCCCACAAACCUUGCAUUAUCUAGAAUUAUAAAUAGAAUAAUAGAAAUAUAAAUAGAAAAUAAAAUGUUUGCUCAUGUUCAUAUUGGUAGUUGGCUUCCU